UAGAAAAAUAUAACUUCUCUCUCUCUCUCUCUCUCUCUCUCUCUCUCUCUCUCUUUCUUCUCCUUUUUAAAAAUUGAUUCAAUAAUAUAGCCAUGGAUGCCAAUGGGGUUCUUUCCUUUUCAGAUGAUUUGGUGUUUAAGAAGAAGAAAGAUGAGGUUUUGAACAAUAAUAAUGAUAAUGGCUGCUCUCAUCUGCAAGUUCUUGAAGCUGAACAUCAAAAAGAUGAAGAAGAUGAAGAAGAAGAAGAAGAAGAAGAAGAAGAUAACUCCAUUAUAAUUAAUGGUGACGAUCCUCUCGAUCAUCCAACCAUUCCUGGUUGGUUUUGUGAGCACUGCCCUCAAUGGCCAGGUCAAGCACACUUCUUAAAGGUGGAUAAAGUUUUGUUUCAAGGAAAGUCUGCGUAUCAAGCCAUGUUGGUCUUCCAGUCAUCAGCAUAUGGAAAGGUGUUUGUGUUGGAUGGAGCACUCCAACUCACUGAGAAAGAUGAAUGUGCUUACCAAGAAAUGAUUACCCACCUUCCUCUUUGCUCUAUUCCUAACCCUAAAAAGGUUUUGGUGAUCGGGGGAGGAGAUGGUGGCAUUCUAAGAGAGAUUUCUAGGCAUUCUUCCAUCGAACAAAUUGAUAUUUGUGAAAUAGACACCAUGCUCAUUGAUGUAUACAAGAAGUACUUUCCAGAAAUUGCAGUUGGAUACAAAGAUUAUCGAGUGAAUCUUCAUAUAAUAGAUGGAAGUGCUUUUUUGAGUUCUGUUCCACCAGGAAGCUACGAUGCAAUCAUAGUCGAUGCUUUUGAUCCGAUAAAGCCCGAUGACGAGGUAGUGAGAAGUAAGUUGUUUGAGAACGUGGCAAAAGCACUUAAAGAAGGAGGAGUACUUUGUAUUCAAGCAGAAAGCCUUUGGUUUCCUUCUCUUGACAUUCAAAUUUUGAUCUCAAAAUGCAAACAAGUUUUCAAAGGCUCAGUUCAAUAUGCUUGGACCAUUGUUCCUGCUUAUCCUAGGACCAAAAGAUGUUGACUUCAAAAAUCCAAUCAAUCCCAUUGAUUCGAACAAGAACUUUGGAGUUGCAACCCAACCGUUGAAGUUUUACAACUCAGAGGUGCAUUCAGCAGCGUUUUGUUUGCCAUCAUUUGCAAAGAAAGCAAAAGGAUUAAGAAGCAAUAACUAAAAAAGAAGAAGAAGGGAUAAAAAUGAUAUAUAUUAGAUUGAGAUUUUUCUUUCUUUCUUCUUUUUUUGUGCGCAACCACACAACUUAGAAAGAAACAUUUCUCCAAUAUCACAAAUCCUUUUCAAUUUCCCACUUUUUCCUUUUAUCAUCAAUUUCUUUGUUCUCUACACACUUAUAUAUUAUAUGGUUCUCUCCAUUUGAUAUAUAUAUAUAUAUAAAUUGAGGUUGGCUUUGUUGUA